AAUUUUCCGGUGUGCCCAUUUCCUUCCGGUGACAUUUCACCCAGGGGUCUUUUUCUAGCAGCAGCUCCUUACAUUUCCGGUUGACUUCAAGGUUAUAUCCUUCUUGAAUUCUUUUCUUUUCUGUCUGGGUCUUUUUCUAGCAGCAACUCCUUACAUUUCCGGUUGACUUCAAGGUUAUAUCCUUCUUGAAUUCUUUUCUUUUCUGUCGUAUUUGUACCUUUAGCUAGAUUAUUUGCUUUAGCACUUGCUUUACUGUAUUCAUAUUAGCAUCUUGAAUACAAAAGGAAAAAAAAUAUUUUGUUCAUUUUGAAUUUCG
rnacentral:lncRNA from 1 species